rnacentral:misc_RNA from 1 species
CUGAAGUUGCUUGUAAGGCUGUGCCAUAUCUAUGAUACCCGAGGAGGUGUAAAAACCGUUAAAGAUGGUGCUUCUCAGGAUCAUAUUUUAAAUGAGACAAGACUGCAAAACUUGCAGCGAGAACUUGUGAAGGAUCUACGUGAGGUAACUACACCAAGAGUAUGUGCCCGUCUUAUUUGGGCUGUUGCAGAACAUAUAAAUCUAGAUGGUUUGGAUCCACUUCUAGCUGACGACCCUGAGGAUACCUUGAACAUUAUUGUAUCAAAUAUCCACAAGGUCUUAUUCAACAUUGAUUCGUCUGCAAAUGCAUCAAAUAGGCUUCAAGAUGUUCAAGCAGUUCUUUUAAGUGCUCAACGGUUGGGAUCACGUGACCCUAGGGCUGGCCAGUUACUAACUAAAGAGCUGGAAGAGUUUAGAAACAGUGGGUUGGCUGAUUCUGUCAACAAGCAUCAGUGCCGUUUUAUAUUGCUGAGAAUUAAAUACGUUCAAAAUCAUCCGGAUAGUAGGUGGGCUGGCGUCAGUGAAGCCAGAGGGGACUAUCCAUUUAGCCAUCACAAACUUACUGUUCAGUUUUAUGAAGCAGCUUCUGCACAGGACAGAAAAUUAGAAGGAUUGGUUCACAAGGCUAUUUUAGAGCUUUGGAGGCCAGAUCCUAGUGAAUUAACUAUUUUGCUGACGAAAGGAAUUGAUUCUAAAUUACUAAAAGUUAUGCCUGCUGCAUAUACUUUGACGGGUAGUAGUGAUCCAUGCUAUGUUGAAGCUUAUCAUUUGGCGGACUCAAGUGAUGGAAGGAUCACUUUGCAUCUGAAGGUCUUAAACUUGACUGAACUUGAACUCAAUCGAGUGGAUAUUCGGGUUGGGUUAUCUGGUGCAUUAUAUUUUAUGGAUGGAUCUCCUCAGGCUGUGCGACAGCUAUGUAAUCUUGUUUCACAGGAUCCGGUACUCUGCAGUGUAACAGUGGGUGUGUCCCACUAUGAAAGAUGUGCCUUUUGGGUUCAAGUCUUGUACUACCCAUUCUAUGGAAGUGGUGCGAUAGGAGAUUAUGAUGGUGACUAUACUGAGGAGGAUCCACAAAUCAUGAGGCAGAAGAGAAGCUCAAGGCCAGAACUAGGAGAACCUGUGAUUUUGAG